CAAGAACCGAGGAGGUUGGCCUUCUCCACUUCUCCUCCCCUCCACUUUUCUCACUCUUGCGCUUCCAUCCUCACCGGGGCUACAAAUACGUUCCCCUUGCGGGUGUGGCGACUGCGUGGUCGAGACGGCGUCCGUAGAACCCUAAACAAUCUUUCCCAAUCUUUUCCACCUGCUCCGGGUCCUCCUUCUACUGCCGGCCUCCCCACGCCGGUGUUCAGACCCGUCCCUUCUGUCGUUCCUCCGCUCCGGGUCCUCCUCGAGGCGGCAGCAUCGGACGCAACAGACGCGGCGGACGCGACUCGCGGCCCCGGUUUGUGCGGGAUCCAUCAAGGUGGCCUCGGGAAGGAGCAGGUCGCCGGUAUCCCCACGCCUCCUCGCGGCCGCCAUGGCAGGCAAGCAAUCACCUCGCAGCCGAUUUAUUCUCUGCGCACGCCAUGCCUCCCCUGCGGUUUCUCCUCGCGCUGACGGCCUGGGACGCACGCACCGGAUGAGACCCUCCCUGCCGCGGAGGAGAAGCUCGCCGGCCUCCCCCUGCCUCCUUGACGUAGAUAUCAAUGCUCGCAAGCCCAGCUUCAAGAAGACGGUGUGCCAUGUUAAGGUUCCAAAUGUUCUAAACCUCUGCAUAUUCAGGUUCGAUUCAGAAUUUGAGAAGCAGGUGCUUACGGUGUCACGCAGUACAGUGAAAAAGGCGUUCAAAUAUACUUAACAGGUCCAUCAUUUCAGCUUCCGGUUCAUUCAUCUAUCUAAAUUGUGAGGAGGAGCUAUCAAGGCUAGGGAUGUGUAUACAUCACUCCUAGCCACCGGAAGAAGUGGCCAGUUUUCCCCGUACACCUAAUUGUCUACAAUUUUGAUUGAUUUAUUAUUUUUGCAAGAAUUUGAAACUGCAGGACGCCGGAGGCAUCCAAUAGUUGUGAUUUCCUGUUUGCUUUUGUCAAAUAUCUUCAGAAUUGUAAAAGUCACUCGCCUUAUUAAUCUUUUCGUCUCCACAGAGGUUAUGUUUGUGAGCACGUUUAAUCCCAGUCUUCUAUUUAUUAGGUCGCUACUUAUUGGUCCAUGUUUUACUAAUCGAUUCAGAUACAUUCCACUUUUGCUUGAAUUUAUACUGUGAGAAGCUGUGUUUUGAUUUUCGGUUUGAGCUUUUUUUCGCCCUAGGCCGAGAUGGCCGAAUUUCGGCCAUUUUCAAAAUUUUCGGCUGAAAUUUGAUUAAAUUUUGACUGCGAUUUGACUUAAAUUUGACCAAAAUUUACCAAAUUUGAGCAAUUUCGGUCUAAAUAUAUUUUUCGCCCCAGGCCGAGAUGGCCGAAAUUCGGCCGAAAUCCACUUUUUUCGGCCGAAAAUCAAAACACAGGUGAGAAGUAAUGAAGCCAAACAGGUUGUUAUUCUUAAUCAACGGGAAUUGAAGAUCUACUCCCAUAAUUCAAAGGGAAAAAAUAGAAUAAGCCUUUCUUAGUAUCAUGGCAGUGUUCCAUACUUUGAUACUCUAAUACACUAUAGUGCAAUUCACAGAAAUCCUAUUCACACUGAGGCAUUGGUCAUACAAUAGGAUCAGACGUUGAUAUCUAUACUUUGGCCAUAUACAUCGACAAGACCCAGUCUACUACCCGUGGAGAAACUGUUCUCUUUUGUUACAUUGUUCACCUUGGAAUUUAUAGUGCUGAUUUGCAGUUAUAUAAAAAAAUUAUGCCAUUUUUAAUGCCAGCAAAGAGUUCCCGCAGCAACGCGCGGGGUAUCAUCUAGUUUUAUUAAAGUUGUACUGAAGCCAACACCAUGUAGUACAAAGUCCCGUUGUGCUGGAUAAUCCAUGAAAUUUGGAGGAAAUUUCAAACACAUUGACUGAAAUUACAUGCAAAGAAUAGAUCGGUGUGCCCAGUCUUCAUGGACCAUCAAAGUACAGAGUACACAAGUAUCAUCUUCAACAUGCCAAUGUCGAUCUUGCAUCGUAUGCCUAGUAUUCAGAUGAUCAACCAAUAAGAGUCAUCGAAAUACCUUAAUUUUCAAUGUGCAUGCACAUCUCCAAAUCCAUUUAAAAAUAGGAUCAAGCACAAUAUGAUCAAAGGCCAGUUUAUAGUUAAAAAACUACAGUAUUCACCAGAUGGUGUGAGCCAUCGCCAAACAUCAUGAGUCUUAGAGCUAAGAUUUACAUCAGUCAGGAGAGCAGCCAAUUGUUGACUCCACAUAAGCCUGUGUAGAUAACGACAGAUGGAAAAUUCUAGAGAGUUCUUCCGAAUCCAUAACCUCUUUGACAGGCAUUUUAACAUCAAUGACAUAGGAGAAGAGCCUUACAAAACGUUCCCCGGGAGGUAAAUCUGAAUCACCAAGCUGCUAGUGGUUUGACUAGAAGAUAACAAAGUUGCCUGAAUGCACGUGAAUUUUGACCUUUGACAUUUCUCCACUAGUUUGAAAAAACCCUUCCACCAAAAAGCAUUGUACCAUGUGGAACCACAUUACGAUAAUAAGAUUCCCAUAC
rnacentral:rRNA from 1 species